GUCUUUAAAGAGACAUUUAUUUAGUCAUUUAUUUUAUGAAUGAGUGCUCAAUCUGCAUGUACAUCUUUAUGCCAUAAGAGAGCAUCCGAUCCCACUAGAGAUGGCUGUGAGCCACCAUGUGGUUGCUGGGAAUUGAGCUCAGGACCUCUAGAAGAGCAGCCUAUGCUCUUAACUAAUGAGUCAUCUCUCCAGCCCC